rnacentral:lncRNA from 1 species
GGAAGACCUGGGAGGAAUGGGGAGACCCUAUCUUGUCCGGAGCCAGAAGUUCAGGGAACUGCUCCCCUCACGCUCCAUCAUGGUGGUUGUGCUGGGGUCACCAAUCACAAUACACAAACCCCUUGGACCCAGUGAUGGGUCCAGCAAUCCUUUCCUGAAUCAACCAGAAUCCUUUCCUGAAAUUUUUCGACGAGAGCCUGUGGAGGAGACAUUUCUACUCAUACAGACAAUCCAGAGCAACUAAGCGUCUUCCCGACCUCUCCAAUGGAAAAGAUCUGUUUGAAGCAGAGCACUUCUGUAUCUUGGGUCUUCUGAAGUGCUGUCAGCCACGUUUUGAGACAGGGAGUCAACAGACCUCCUAUGUCCCUGUCACUGUUCUUGGCACUGGGGAUACACUGGUGAAUAAGACAAAGCUCCCACCCUCAUGACUUACUUUCCAGCGUGAGAAAUGAACAAACCAUGAGUAUAUAUUGUGUGUUUAUAGAGGUGGUGGUAAAUCCUCUGAAGACCAAGCAGAUCAAGUCAAAGAGUGGCUGUGCGGUUGGGUGCCAUUUCAGACAAGGUGUUCCUAGGUGGUCAUGGAAGGCCCUUCUGCAGAGCUGACAUUAAACCAGUGGCCUUAAUUCACUCAGGAAGUAUCCCAAAGGAAAGAGCUUUCCAGGACAAGUCCAAAGACCCUGAAGCAGGAAUAAGAUUGGCACAAUCUGAGAAAGCAAGGCCAUGCGGAUGGCAUGAAAGUGAUGGGCAACCUUUGUGUUAAUUAGAAGAAGGUAUGUCUUCCAGGUAGACUAAUCACCACCAGCCAUCAUUGCAUAGGACACAACCUGGACAGCUGUACCUGGUAGUCAUGAAGAAAGUCUUAGGACAUAAGGUCAGAGAGAGACUGGAACCGGUCAUGGAGGAAGGACAUUGAUGGGAGUUUACUCUAAGUCACCACUGUCCAGGGGAAAUAUUGCAUGGGUCACAUAUGUAAUUUAAAAGUUUCCAAUGGUCACAUUUUAAAAAGUAAAAAAGAAACAGGUGGAAUUAUUUUAAUAAUAUACACUACUUAACCAAUAGAUACAGAAUAUUAACAUGUUAACAUGCAAUCAAUGUAAAAAUUAAUGAGAUGUUUGUCAUUUUUUUCAUACAUUUUUUUUCAAAAAUCUGGUAUAUAUUUUGUACUUACAGCAAAAGUAACUCAGGUGCUGAAUUUUUUGUUGCUGUUACAGAGAAAGCCAGUAGGGGACAGGUAGAGGGAGAGGGUAGAGAGAGAGAGAAUCCCAAGCAGGCUCUGUGCUGAGUAUGGAUCGAUGCGGGGCUCCACCUCACAACUGUGGGAUCACGACCAGGGUCGAAAUCAAGAUUUUGACACUUAACUGACUGAACAGGCGUUCCCAGGUGCUGAACUUUUAUUGGGAAUACCUGGUCAGUAUUUAGGUUUCGUAAGUUUACACUGGAAAAGGUAGAUUCACAUAGCCACGUUGUCCAAAAGUACUUAAAAGUUUUCUAAUAAUUGAAUUCAGCAUCAGUUUUUAAACUUAAAUUAAAUUACAUUAAAAUUAAAACGGGUUUCCUUAGUCACAUAAGCCCCAUUUCAAGUGCUCAAGAAACACAUGCUAGUGGGUCCCGUAUUGCACAGGGCAGAGCUGAGUGUUCUGGGAGUGACUGUAGGGUUGAGAGCAGGAAGUGGCAUGACCUCAGAGGCCUUUUGAGAAGGAAUCUCUUGGGGGUGCCUGGGUGGCUCAGUCGGUGAAACAUCUGACUUUGACUCAGGUCAUUAUCUCAUAGUUCAUGAGUUUGAGCCCUGCAUCAGGCUCUCUGCUGUCAGCACAGAGCCUGCUUUGGAUCCUCUGUCUCCCUCUCUCUCUCUGCCUCUCCCCUGCUUGUGCUCUCUCCCUGUCUCUCUCAAAAUAAAUAAAUAAACUUAAAAUUUUAAACA